GAAAUUUCAAUUCAUACUUAGGAUAGAGAGACAACGGAGGGAAGAGGAGCUGAACACUCGUUCCUCGAAAAAGGAAUUGAAGUUGCAUAAGCCAUACUUAACAGGGUUGAUCAUGUCUUGGUUGAUAUAGUUUCCACUGCUGCAAAUGCUAUACCAAGUAUGGGAAGAUAUAUUCCUUUCAAGAGAGAGGUAGUGGAAAUUGCCAGUGCUGGACUGAAUGAGUUUUAGAAUGAAGUCAAGAAAAUGGUGGUUGCACUAGUUGACAUGGAGCGAGCUUUUGUGCCCCUCAACACUUUAUACGCCUUGUUUGAAGAAGAAAUUUCAAUUCAUACUUGGGAUGGAGAGACAACAGAGGGAAGAAGAGUUGAACACUCGUUCCUCGAAAAAGGAAUUGAAGCUGGGUUGAUCAUGUCUUGGUUGAUAUAGUUUCCACUGUUGCAAAUGCUACGCCAAGUAUGGGAAAAUAUCUUCCUUUCAAGAGAGAGAUAUCCCUGGGAGGAUGCUUUGGAGCUGACUUUGCCAUUAACCUCCUUAUUCGAUGGAGAGACAACGGAGGGAAGAGGAGCUGAACACUCGUUCCUCGAAAAAGGAACUGAAGCUGAGUAAGCCAUAGUUAACAGGGUUGAUCAUGUCUUGGUUGAUAUAGUUUCCACUGUUGCAAAUGCUACGCCAAGUAUGGGAAGAUAUCUUCCUUUCAAGAGAGAGGUCGUGGAAAUUGCCAGUGCUGGACUGGAUGAGUUUCAGAAUGAAGUCAAGAAAAUGGUGGUUGCACUAGUUGACAUGGAGCGAGCUUUUGUGCCCCUCAACACUUUAUACGCCUUGUUUGAAGAAGAAAUUUCAAUUCAUACUUAGGAUGGAGAGACAACGGAGGGAUGAGGAGCUGAACACUCGUUCCUCGAAAAAGGAGCUGAAGCUGGGUUGAUCAUGUCUUGGUUGAUAUAGUUUCCAUUGCUGCAAAUGCUACGCCAAGUACGGGAAGAUAUCUUCCUUUCAAGAGAGAGGUCGUGGAAAUUGCCAGUGUUGGACUGGAUGAGUUUCAGAAUGAAGUCAAGAAAAUGGUGGUUGCACUAGUUGACAUGGAGCGAGCUUUUGUGCCCCUCGGCACUUUAUACGCCUUGUCUGAAGAAGGAUGGAGAGACAACGGAGGGAAGAGAAGCUGAACACUCGUUCCUCGAAAAAGGAGCUGACGCUGGGUAAGCCAUAGUUAACAGGGUAUGGAGAUUUUUGUAAAUGAAUGAAAGCUGGAUUAUAUAUAUUGUUGUACAGGGAUUCUUUUAACUUCAUUUUUGGUUACUUUGUCUACUACUAUUCAUGGAGUUGUUGCCUAACUGUUGAAAUUUGGUUGAUCAUGUCUUGGUUGAUAUAGUUUCCACUGCUGCAAAUGCUACGCCAUGUAUGGGAAGAUAUCUUCCUUUCAAGAGA